rnacentral:tRNA from 1 species
GCGGCGGUGGCAGAGUGGUUUAAUGCGCCGGCCUCGAGAGCCGGUGGGCCACGCGCCCACGCCGGUUCGAAUCCGGCCCGCCGCGCCA